UACGGAGGGUGCAAGCGUUAUCCGGAUUCACUGGGUUUAAAGGGUGCGUAGGUGGGCUAGUAAGUCCGUGGUGAAAUCCCUGAGCUUAACUUGGGGAACUGCCAUUGAUACUAUUAGUCUUGAAUAUCGUGGAGGUAAGCGGAAUAUGUCAUGUAGCGGUGAAAUGCUUAGAUAUGACAUAGAACACCCAAUUGCGAAGGCAGCUUGCUACACGGUCAUUGACACUGAGGCACGAAAGCGUGGGGGAGCAAACAGG
rnacentral:rRNA from 1 species